UUUCCAUUUCCUGCUACCCGAACAAAGACGCUCCUUUGGCGACUGUUCAGCUAUGUUCAGUCAAGUCUAAGGUUUGGAAGAGGAUUGAAGAUUUCAAAUACGGCAUUCCCUGCAAUUCCCCAGGGAAAUACGUGAGCAACACUUUGAAUUGGGUGAUGGAUAACGAGUCGAGCUCGAUCGUGUCGCUUGACUUGCACAGCGAAACAUACCGAGAAGUGAUGCAGCCAGAGGUUGUUAGCCGGAAACAGAAGACGGUCGGGGUUGUGGAAGGUUGUCUGUGCGUGAUGUAUCAUCGCAGCGGAGAGUACUCGGAUUUGUGGGUGAU
rnacentral:lncRNA from 1 species